rnacentral:rRNA from 1 species
AGAGUUUGAUCCUGGCUCAGAGCGAACGCUGGCGGCAGGCCUAAUACAUGCAAGUCGAACGGACCCUUCGGGGUUAGUGGCGGACGGGUGAGUAACACGUGGGAACGUGCCCUUUGGUUCGGAACAACUCAGGGAAACUUGAGCUAAUACCGAAUGUGCCCCCAUCCUUAAACAAGAUGGGUGGGAAAGAUUUAUCGCCAUUGGAGCGGCCCGCGUCUGAUUAGCUAGUUGGUGAGGUAAAGGCUCACCAAGGCGACGAUCAGUAGCUGGUCUGAGAGGAUGAUCAGCCACACUGGGACUGAGACACGGCCCAGACUCCUACGGGAGGCAGCAGUAGGGAAUCUUGCGCAAUGGGCGAAAGCCUGACGCAGCCAUGCCGCGUGAAUGAUGAAGGUCUUAGGAUUG